GUCAUUUUGGCUGAGCUCGUUGUUCUUGGUCUCUUUUGACAUCUCUCCGCUCGCGUGAAAAAUCCUGUUUAACGACGAAUUUUCGGCGUUUUCCCUGUACACUACAAUACCACUAACGAAUAUUUACUUUAAAAACAUGGAGCAAAUGGAAGAUCCCACUGGAUCGGACAACAAACGAGCUAUAGAGCGGAAAAGUAGUUGAAGAUGCCGAGCGAGGACUUCAGAGAGGACAAGCUUUCAGCCGCAGUGCAGUCCAUCACUUUGUCACUCCCCUCAUAUCCUAACAUCAGUCACAGUCACAGGAGUUGGUUCAGCCAGUGUCCUGACCUCUGAUACUCUCAGUCUAAGAUCAGCAGUGUCAUCACAAGCGUUUCAAUGGGUGGUAAUGGAGGAGGUGGACGGGGAGGUGAAAGGUGGAGUCUCUUUGGGGUGCGCCCCAUUGUGCAGAAAUCCCCCACUGACCCGGGAUCAGAGACCAACACAC